AGAGAGUCCAGACAGCAGAGACAGCCUAAAGCUCAGUUAAGUGAAGGAUGGGGGGAAAGGCAGCAGGGAGACAUGGGGACACUGAGACACUAGGGGACACUGGUAGACCUGGGGACACUGAGACACUUGGGAACGCUGUGAGACAUAGGGACAUUAGGAGACACAUUGGGACACAGAGACACAAGGGACACAGUAUCUCCAUGGCUCCCAGUGUCCCCUAGUCUCCUAGUGUCACAGUGUCCCCAUGUCUCCAAGUGUCCCCAAAUGUCUGUGUCCCAAUGUCUCCCGGUGUCCACAUGUCUCCCAGCCAGUGUCCCCAUGUCUCCCAGUGUCCCUAAUGUCUCAGUGUCCCCAAAUGUCUGUGUCCCCAUGUCUCCCAGUGUCCCCAUGUCUAUAUCCAUAAGUGUCCCCAUGUCUCUGAGUGUCCCCAAGUGUCUCAUGGUCCCCAUGCCUCCCAGCCAGUGUCUCAGUGUCCCCAUGUUUCCCAGUGUCCCCUAGUCUCCCAGUGUCUGUGUUCCCAUGUCUCAGUGUCCCUAGUGUUUGUGUCCCCAAAUGUCUCAGUGUCCCCAUAUCUCCCAGUGUCUGUGUCCUAAUGUUUAUGUGUCCCUAGUGUCUGUGUCCCCAUUUCUCCCAGUGUCCCCAAAUGUCUCAGUGUUUCCAUGUCUCCCAGUAUCCCCAUGUCUGUAUCCACAAGUGCCCCCAUGUCUCCCAGUGUCCCCAAGUGUCUCAGUGUCCCCGGGUCUCUCAGUGUCUCCAUGUCUCACUGUGUCCCCAUGUCUCUCAGUGUCCCCUAGUAUCCCAGUGACACGGAACAUACAGAGACAUGGGGACACUGGGAGAAAUGGGGACACUGGGAGACUAGGUGACACUGACACUGUGAUACAUAGGGACACUGAUGCCAAGCUGGCCUUCCAAUUCUUUGGACAGACGUGCCCCAGUUCUGGUCACGUGAUUUGAGUCAUUGGCCCACCCUUUUACCCCGCCCAUUAACUUCCUGCUUCCCUGGACACUGCUGUUAGGGGGUAUGGAUUUACUUGAAAGAUGAAAGCAUAAAUUAGAGAGAG